rnacentral:rRNA from 1 species
UACGAAGGGGGCGAGCGUUGUUCGGAAUUACUGGGCGUAAAGGGCGCGUAGGCGGCCCUCUUUGUCGCGUGUGAAAGCCCCGGGCUCAACCUCGAGACGCCGGUGGAAACCGUAAAGCUAGAGUCCGGAAGAGGAGAGUGGAAUUCCUGGUGUAGCGGUGAAAUGCGAAGAUAUCAGGAAGAACACCCGUGGCGAAGGCGGCUCUCUGGGACGGUACUGACGCUGAGACGCGAAAGCGUGGGGAGCGAACAGG